AUUGAACGCUGGCGGCAGGCUUAACACAUGCAAGUCGAGCGGGGGGAGGUACUUCGGUACUGAACCUAGCGGCGAACGGGUGAGUAAUACUUAGGAAUCUGCCUAUUAAUGGGGGACAACAUUUCGAAAGGAAUGCUAAUACCGCAUACGCCCUACGGGGGAAAGCAGGGGAUCUUCGGACCUUGCGUUAAUAGAUGAGCCUAAGUCGGAUUAGCUAGUUGGUGGGGUAAAGGCCUACCAAGGCGACGAUCUGUAGCGGGUCUGAGAGGAUGAUCCGCCACACUGGGACUGAGACACGGCCCAGACUCCUACGGGAGGCAGCAGUGGGGAAUAUUGGACAAUGGGGGGAACCCUGAUCCAGCCAUGCCGCGUGUGUGAAGAAGGCCUUUUGGUUGUAAAGCACUUUAAGCGAGGAGGAGGCUCUUCUAGUUAAUACCUAGGAUGAGUGGACGUUACUCGCAGAAUAAGCACCGGCUAACUCUGUGCCAGCAGCCGCGGUAACAC
rnacentral:rRNA from 1 species